GCUGGUCCGCUUCUUCCUCUUCCUCCCGAACACUUCACUGAGGGUGGGUUGGUUCCAGACUCAGGAGGAGAGGAAAGGGUGCUAUGUAUUGACUGCCAAAAGCCCCAACACAGAGGACUUCCCUGGUGGUCCAGUGGCCUGUGGGUGGCACUGCCGCUCUACCCAAAUGGAAUUCCAGCUUCCUGAGGGUGGAAGUCUGAGUCUACAUCCA